UAGCAAUAAAUGAAUGUAUUUUACAAACAGCACAAGUCUUACAAAAUCCACUCAAACUGGAAAGCAACUGGAAUUGACCAAUCAACUCCAAUGUUCAACAUGCCCUUGAAACAAUGAAAACUUUACAGGUUAGUGCCGCACACAUCUAACCGUAAACUAAAUGACAGAGUCUAAUCCAGGGUAGGGCAAACUUGGGUUUGGAGGGCUGGUUUUACCCACCCCUGGUGUAAUCAGUAGAAAAUCAAUGGUUCAUUCAAUCCUUCAAAAUCAGUCGAUUCCUAGAGGGAACUAAUUUUGGUUCUACUUUAAAUAAAAGUAUAAAAGAAUAAUAAAUUGAGUACAAACUGCAAUUAUCAAUCAAUGCCGUGUAGAAAAAUCAUUUGGAAUUCUGGCCAUUUAUACGUAUGAAAAACGGUUAUGAAGCAGAAAGACACAAAAUGCCCAAUCACAACAACCAAGAGUGUUUUUGCAUAGAGUUUCUCUCACCAUUCUGAAUCCCACCAAACAGAAGCACAGUGUUCCAAACAACACAAAUUGGUUAUUUAAACAAACUCUUAAUAUCAGUAGCCACAAAUUGUGCAUUAUAUCUACUGGCUGUGGAAGUCAAACCAUGUUUAAAAACAGUUUACACUCGACAGAAAAAUCGAAUAGUCACUUCAGUCUCGAACCCUCCAAGAAAUUGAGAUUUUGCGCGUUCUAUAACAAGCAUGCAAUUUCUAUAUACAAACAAAG
ensembl:processed_transcript